AUAUGCUACGAAUCUUGGUGAUACCUAGCAAUUUUGUACCCAACAGAGCAAAAAAUUCCUCUUGAGAUGUUUUGCAUAGCUAAACUUUGCUCAUUGUGCUUCCAUUCUAUGCAGCCUUGUGCCACCAUGGUGGCCUGGAGCGGCAAUUCUCGCCAAGAAUGGCAGCAGAUGCUGGCCAGCCAUUGGAUUACUUGGAGGGACACAUUGGAGGCUUCCUGCAAUCCCAGGUGUAAAUAAGGGUGGGGGAUUCAGAGCUGCAUCAGGGAUGUGCUCAGAUUCAACUUUUGUCAACUGGUGCCACAAGUCGGUUCUAAUGCUUUUGUUAUGCAUCAUUUAGCAGAAGAAGCAACGUUGUGCAUAAUUCCAUGGCCUGAUUUAUCCUAUUACAUUAUUUUGUAUUUUGUGCAUUAGCUAAAGAUUGCAGGUUUCUUUUCCUAUGCUGAUGUCAGAUUGUCAUCUCCGCCACAAGAGCUGUUGCUGGACUGGUUUUAGAGUGCUAAUCAUCCAAGUGACUUCCAUGGUCGCCCACUAAUACGUGAGCUACAGAGAUGCAGGGAUGCAGCCCUGUCUUGAAGACAUAUAAGCCUUCAUUCCUUUGAGAGCAAAAGUUUGUGAAAAUGGUGUGCUUUAAUAAAUUUUAUCCUUUGCUGCCCUCCCUGGUUGGCUGAUUUAUGGAGGUUGAGUCGGCUAGAUGUUUAGAUGCGUCCCCUUUGUUUACAGUAAGUUUCUUGUAGAAGUUCAACUGAAUAACAGUUGACCCAAACGGGGUAUCAUGAAGAGAGUCUCAUCGCAUGUCUCAUUGCCUCAGAGGCUGAUAUCAGUCUUGAUCUGUUGCGGUUACUAAUUGAUAAGCCAGGGCUCACGCAUCGGCAAAACGAUGGCUUUGAUAGUGUAAUGCAGUCAUCGGCAAAACGAUGACUUUGAUACCUGCAUCCCGUACUGGGUUUGACUCCCCAUUCUCAAUACGAACACACUUCGGUGUGCCAAGUGGACCACACCCCCUUAUGAAUGAGGCAUGGGAGGCACUCAGGAAAUUUGUACUGUAUUUUCACGGCCAACCAGUUGGUACAAUUGUUGCGGUAGAUCAUUCAUCUGAGAAAGUGCUCAAUUAUGAUCAGCGCAUUUUCCCCUCACGUGACCUCAUAUUUUGGUUAUCCAUGCAAUCCAGCAAUUGAAGCACUAUUUGGCUCAUCCAUGAGAAGCACAAAAGAUCAUACAUGGAGUUGACGAAGAAACUUUACGGAUCUCAAUUUUACCUGUGAGCUUCUUCAGAUCCAUUCACCGAGGGAGGUAUCUUCCAACUUUUUAGUUCUAUUUUUUGCAGUAUAUGGUUCCAUAUCUGGCUAUAUUUUUCACAAAAUAGAGGUAAUAAAGGAACGAACUGAAGGUUUUUUAUUUUUGUAAAUAUGUGUCACUUUCUGUUUGAUGGGAUUUGUAUAAUUUGUUGAGUAUUCUUCUGUUCAUGGCAAAUGAAGCUUUUUCUUUAUAGAGCUGGACUGUAGGAACUGAUUGUGAGGGUAUGGACUGUGUUCUUGCUGAUCGAUGGCGCCGGCCAGCUGGACCUAUUGGUGUUUGACUGUUUGGUAAUUUGGCCCUGAGAAGAUUUGUUGUCUUCAAAUACAGCUAAAUGUUGUUUGCAAAUACUCAGGGGUGUAUAUGCACACAGACUUGGUAAGACUCUCUUUACGUAUACCACUGCUUCUAUUUCCUUUCCCAGACUGUUUUUAGGUUCAUUUUCACACAUUUCGGGUUCUUGCGACAUAAAUAUAAGAUUAGUGAAGCAAUGAUACUCAUAUUAUUUUUUGUUACUGACACAUCAAUUUGCGAGGGUGCCCCCCAUGCCUCACCUCGCCUGAUCGUAGUGAGACACAAUGAAACAUAAGGUAAAUAUCUUCUCAUUCUAAUACGUUGGAUCCCUUAUGUCUUGUUUCAGCUAAUAUUUCUUUCUAUUUUUUAUUCAUUAGAGCUUGUGGUCAUUAAUUUUUCAACGUUACUAAUAAUUAUGGAUCUUUAUCAUCAAACACAAGGAAAGAGCAACUUAAUGAGCGCUCUUCUCAGCAGAGAAUCAUUAAGUCACUCAUUUCAGCCCUCGCGCCAUAUGGCCCCGGCAGCAUCCGACGACAAUGGGAUGGCCCCCGCUCCCUCGCUCCCCGAGUGAGGUUGUCGCCGACGAGGGGGAAUCGCAUGAGCCGCCGCCUCGAGCCGCCAUCAGCCCAGCUCGUGCCCUCUUCCCCGUUAGCCAGCCAUACGGGCAUCCGUAUGUGUCGCUGCUGCUCCGCCUCUUCAUCCUCUGCAUCUAAAGGUGGAGCACGUGAACAAGACAGGCUAGGUAUUGCAGCGCCCGGGGACAAAGCGUCGAUGAUGGCGACCUAGCGACUCGCAUUGUCCGAGGUAUACAAGUUACGGUAGAUGUCUCAACAUCUUCCAUCGAACCGGUUUCACAAAUUUAAUCUCAAGUGCAAGAUGCUCGCGUGUGUCUCCAACCUCGGGCCCGCUAGAUCUUGAUUCGGUUUGUCCCUUUCUUAGAUACCUGAAUAGUGUAUUGUGUUGUUUUGCACCAAAAAUAGGAACCAAUUGGUGUACUACUUAAUAUAUUUGAAAGUUUGGCUUGUGAAAUAUAA